ACAGCGGCUCGCUUCAAGAGCAGGUGAAGCAAUUUGGGACAAUGCUGAAGACGUUUGCUCGCACUGGGCAAUCAGGUGCAGAUCAGACCCUAGUGCUGCGACGUCUUGGAGAGUUUGGCGAUGUUGUACAUAGCAUGGAAAACUAUGCUGCAACAUUUCAGUGCCAAUGUGUCUGUUGGAGAGCUAUCCCUGCCAGGGGAUCUGUUACUCCCCCUAGACACCCAGGAAGAUUUGGUGUUUCUUGACAGCAUUUUGAGGCAGGAUAAGGAGCUCCAGGAACGAUUUCUUCGGUUUUUGGCUAUCAAAUGUGGGAGGGACCUGAAGACAACAGUGUGGAGAAUGCUUCAGAGUAUAUUCUCUAAUAACCUUGCCGUUAAUACAACCUGGACUGGUAUAGGGGAUAAAACAUGUUUUAGAGACCUGUUCCUGAAGACCAUUGUUCAAAGGGCCCUCCGGAAGAACCCGGCAACCCAGGAUGACACUGAUGAGGCGGUCCAGGUUAACGUUACACGUUACCUGAAAGGAGCAUCAGACCGUGAAGGAGGAAAAAGCUGCACAGCUGAGAAGGACCCACAGCCGACCCCUUAAACCUAGGCUGACUACUGACACCCCAGCAUCACUGAACUGGAACACUUUCUUUAUCCUGCAUUCAGUAACAUCAAGAAGCCAGAAGUGCCAGACUACACUCACCAAAUCCACCCUGUUUUUUUUGUAUUUUAACUUUAGUAUUGGCUUAUUUCAUUCCGUCUUAACGAUUCUAUUAUAGUUUGUAAAUCCUAUUUCAUACCUGUUACUUGAUAUUGCACAUUAACUAGUACCAACAUUCUACUUUCAUUUCAUCACUGUGCUUAACUGUUAUUCAAUUAAUAAUAGCUUGGAAAUACUAUUUCGUACCUCUGAUACUUGAUAUUGCACAUUACCUGGUACCAAAUAUUCUACUUUGUUUUUAACAUCAGCAUUUUUCAUUCCAUCACAGUGCUUAACUAUUAUUCUAUUGUUAAAUAUAGCUUGUAAAUCCUUGUGCCACAGGUCAGCAUUGCAGUUAUAAUGGUCUGUUCUACUACUGUUUUUACCUCUGUAUUUUUAUAUAUGUAUGUCAAGUUUUGUUUAUCACAGAUACAAGAGACACAUCUUAAUGCAGCAUGGUGUAAAUAUUGUGCUCCAGGUCAGCAAUGCCAUUAUAAUGGAAUAUUCUACUCUAGAGCUUUACUCAAUGGCUUGAAAAUGUGAUGUUCUACCUCGUUUUAUUUGGUAUCCUGCACAUUCUUUGGUACCAAAUAUCCUCAUUACUUAUGUUUACUGGUAAUUAUUUUCAUCCCAGAGCUGACCUCUAUAUUAUUAACAAUUAUUGUGUUUGUGUUAUAAUUUGCUUGUAUCGCUGUUCUUUUUUUUUAACCAAC
ensembl:lncRNA